CGUAAUGAGAGAAGGGCGUGCUGCGCGUGCGCUGGGGUGAUUACGGUAAUGAGCGGCUGAUACCUGUGUAUGUGCGCUCACAGUCUCUCAGUCGAGAACGCGCUUCAGACCAGACCGGACCAUCUGCUCACUGUCCGUCCGGCUCUGCCGUUCAGAUUAUCUGGAAUAAUCUCCUGUGAAAUACUGAUGAUCGAUGAUGGACGAGCUGCCGGACUUCAGAGACGUUGAGAGUAAACUGGGCCGUAAAGUUCCGGAGAGUUUGAUGCGUUCAGUGACAGCCGGAGCUGAAGUCACGUGUUCAGAACCGCACAAACACACCGAAGAUCUGCGCAGUAAAAUCAGCUUUCUCAGACAACAGAUGGCUCAUCUCCGUGCAAUUGACGUCAAACUGAUGCAUCAGCUGCUGUCGAUCAACGAGGGAAUCGAGUCCAUUCGCUGGGUCAUGGAAGAGCGAGGGGGCGUGGCCAGCCUGGAGGGCAGCUUGACUGGCAGUUUUGGCAGCCUAUCAGACAGCCAGGAUGCCUCCCAGAACGGAAACUGCAGUGACGGGUUAGACGGUAUUUCAGUGGGCAGUUACCUGGAUACCCUCGGGGAAGAUGAAUCCGAGCGUAUGUCACCCAACGAUCUGUCGGACGACUUCAACGCGAAACCUGUUAUCGACGAGGAGACUUUUAAGAAAUCUCCUGUACGACCUCGUGUGGAAACGGAUGAGUACUACUGCUUUGGAUAACGCUAACCAGCGUUUGGAUAAAUGGAGACACUUCCUGAACCCUUGAUCCCAAAUUUCAAUGAAAGCCAAACAUAAAUCGAGUAAAGGGAAAUCCCAAUUCUUAAUUAACUGGUGAUUUAGCUCAAGUCGGCGUUCUCGUUCUAAUCAGCGAACGAGACAUGCAACACAUUUUUUAUUUGAUUUGAUUUUUUUAUGAGCCAUCAAUAGGUUUGACUUCCUAAACUCAAUGUGUGUAAGGCAAGACAGGCCUCAGUCCCCUUCCUAGUUCCCUAUGAAGUGAAUCGGUAAGUUCUGAACAUGAAUUCGGCCGCUGGCUGUCAGAGGUGGGCAAUAGAUUCUCUCUUCGUCUUGGUUGGUACAAAGAAAAUGUAGGGGGCAGUGAUCCCCUGUAGACCCGGCCAUGCUGAUCCACUUAACACUGAAACACUGAUGACUCAAUUAAAUGCAAAAUGAUUAUGAAGUCGUAUAUUAAAUCAGCUCAAACACAAUUAAAACAAGACUGAACAGUUGAACUUGUGUUUAAAUGGUUUUUGGUUUGGCACACAGGUCCUUAAACUAGACCGUAAGAUACAUUUCCUGUAUCCUGUCUACCCUUUGUAGCUUCCUUUUUCCAACACCAGUUGUCUUACAUUUUGUUUAAAUAACAAACAUAUUCUUGGCUUCCUAAGUUAAGAAUGUGGUUCUAGCAGAUAGUUUGUCCUAAGCAUGGCCUACAGUGAACCACAGUGACUCUAUGGCUUCAUUCACACCGCAGCAGAAUGUGCAGUUCUGAAUCUGCAUUCUGUAACCGACGUGAAUACUUGAAGAUUUAUUGGUUAAUGUGUACAAAAUGGAACCAAAGUCAAUUAGUUGUCUUGGGUAGAGGUAGACCGAUAUGUCGGUUUUACCAAUUAAUCAGGGCCGAUAGUUGCUUUUUGGGACUAUCGGUUAUCUGCAAAUAUCUCCGCUGAUUGUGGCCGAUAUUUAGAUAUUUUAAACCCUAUCUUUUAAAAAUGAUUAGUACAUACAAAACUCUUCAUGGUGCAUAUACAGGCUAUUAAAGCUUCAUUUGGUACAGUACGUUUACAGCAUUUAUAGAGUCCCUGCUGUAUUUCAGGCUUGUUUGCAUUUAAAAGUUGUGUGUUAUACAUCAAAAAUCUUAAUUUGCACAAUAAACAGCUUUUGGGAGUUUAUUAAUCUUCGAGCCACAAUGUCUGUGCCCUUCAUAUUAGAGUUAUGCAUUCCCGCAGAACUCCCGUAGAACUCCCGCAGGAUUCGAUUUGAAGGCGGGAGCGAACGAUUCUUCAAUAAGAUGUGGACGGGAGCGGGCGGUCAGAUAAUAGCAUGAAAAAUGUGGCUAUCUUUUUUUUAGCUAUUGAUUUAAUGAAUGCAAAAAAUCCCCAAAACAAUCAUUUUGUUGUUGUUGUUUUUCAUAUUUGUCAAUAUAUUGAGCAGACAUGCAGUCAAGGGGGUUGAGAAGAAUGGCGGAGCAAAGUGUGUCGUUUCAUCAAAGAAGUGAAACUCCGGCUGGAAAUGGUCAAUUUAAUGUUAAGAAACCCACUUUAAUUCAGAUGGGCAUCAUGCCAUGCGUCAUUUAAGAAUAGCAAUAAGAGAAAGAGAAGUUUCGUGCACACGUGCUUUAUGAACUCUUUUAGCACAGUCGACCGUCUGCACGACUGGAACAAUUCCUCUCAUGUUUACGUCUUAUUAAUGUGAGCGUGUGCACUGUUUAUAAACCUCUAGAAAUGAGUUAUUGUGCUUCAUGUGUGCAUUAUAAUCCAGAACUGUUCUGGGAAGUUUCUGAACACUUUGUGUGUUGAAGUGCAAUUUCUGGAUCUGCCAAAGACUUUGAAUCUGUCGAUGUUUUUCUGGCACAUGUUUCAGAUUUUGAUUCUUCACAAUAUUGAGAUUGUACUUGAAUCUUUGAUGUUUUUACCAUUCCUCUUUGUUCAAAACCAAAAAGACAUGAAACCUUGAAAAUCUGUUUGUGACUGUAGUUGUUUGUGCUGCUAUUUUAACUUUGAUCGUUUGCAUGAAUGAUUGCUCCUAAUUUAUUACCUUUGUUGUGAUCUGUGAGAGGAAAUGUCAUUAAUACAUUACAGGACUUACCUUGUACCUUUUGGUCUUAUUUGAAGCUUUUUUCCAAAGGAUUUUAACUUUGAAAUGAUAAGAAAUAAACCAACUGGAAGGUUGAAGAUCUUUACUGAGGCAUUUUUAAUGCAAUACUCCUGUUGAAAUCACAUAUUCUAAGAGUGAGAACUAUAUUAGACAUGUUUCACACAUCCACACGUGUGGACUUUAUUUUAUUGUAUGUUUAAAUCAACUGAUCUCAGUUCAGGAGACUCUGUCAUUAAAGGGUUAAACUUUCAGCACACCACGUCAUGUGACAAAACAACAUGGUGGCAAUCUCAGCCGAGUUUGUCUUUCAGAGAAACGGCAACAUAACUACAUCUGAGUUACCGGCCUUGAGCGAUGUUCACUCAGAACAUAUGAGGAUCAGGCCUGUUUACACACUGUCAGCUGUCUCACAGCGCUGGCCUUCAUUGUUGAAACAUGUAGAGCUGGAUCAGAGGCGUGUUAUCAGACUUUAAUGAACACAGCCAAUGCAUGAUGUCAGAUGAGUUAAAGAGAUAACACUUCAAAAGCGACAUCAAACGGCUUUCAGAGAAAAGUGACACACCGGCAGCGGGUCGGCAACAAACAUCAUUUGUGUUCCACUGGACGAACAGGAAGAGAUCAACUGAAUUCAUCAGAAACACAUUAAGUGCUUUCAGAGGGAAGAUCAGUCGCCAUCUAAUCAGUUCAUCAGCUACACAGACGAGUUCUGAACAAAUAAAAACAACAUAACUGUGUUUCUGACCUUUUUAUCCAAACUGAUCUCGCUGUGAACAGUAACAACUGUAGACUGAAAUAACUUCAGUUGAAAUCAGUCAAAAUGUGAGUCACUGCCCCCUGUGGCCGAAGCUGGAAGUGUCGUUGAAGUAAAUGUCCACAGGGUGGCGCCAGAAGCGAGUUGUAUUUUUAGUUGAAGAUUAUGUAAUAUAGUCAGCAGGAGUCCUAACCCAAACCUCAAUUCUUAACAUAACCGUCAUUUUAGAGGGAAAACGGAUCCUUCAGAGAUGGUAUUUUACUAUGCAAACGCAACUAUUUCAGUAAUUCGGCAGAAUUGUUGGAUAAGAAAUUUUAAAAAGAAACUCAAUAAAAAUGACACAUGACUUCUCUAAAAUGUAAUCACAUUACGUGACUGAUCGCACCCUUCAAGAGACGUACAUACAGUAAGAGCACAAAAAUUAAUAUUUUAAAUGAAUUUAAAUCUUAUAUACAGUAUAUAUUAAGCUAUGCACAAACACUAUUAUUUUAGAAAUAAUUGUAACCAAGUGUUGUACUAAUUACCUUAAUUAAAAGUAAUUAACUGAAAUCAUAAAUCAUUUCAUGAAGUUAAAAAUAUAAUGUGUCCCACUACUUUCUGUAUCAUGUUGACUUUUCAACAGCGCCACUUACACACCACAUGUUGGUUUGAAAUGUUGGAUUCCCUGCCCUUGUGUGUGUGUGUGUGUGUGUGUGUGUGUGUGUGUGUGUGUGUGUGUGUGUGUGUGUGU